rnacentral:rRNA from 1 species
AUGAACGCUAGCUACAGGCUUAACACAUGCAAGUCGAGGGGCAGCAUGGUCGAAGCUUGCUUCGACUGAUGGCGACCGGCGCACGGGUGCGUAACGCGUAUCGAACCUGCCCUGUACACGGGGAUAGCCUUGCGAAAGUAAGAUUAAUACCCGAUGCCAAGUUGAGAUCGCAUGAUUUGAUUUGAAAGAAAUUCGGUAUGAGAUGGGCCCGCGGCGCAUUAGCUAGUUGGUGAGGUAACGGCUCACCAAGGCGACGAUGCGUAGCCGACCUGAGAGGGUGAUCGGCCACAUUGGGACUGAGACACGGCCCAGACUCCUACGGGAGGCAGCAGUGGGGAAUAUUGGUCAAUGGGCGAGAGCCUGAACCAGCCAAGUAGCGUGCAGGACGACGGCCCUAUGGGUUGUAAACUGCUUUUAUAAGGGAAUAAAGUGAGUCUCGUGAGACUUUUGCAUGUACCUUAUGAAUAAGGACCGGCUAAUUCCGUG